UGUAGGAUAAUAAUAGUACCUAGCUCCCAGGGCUGGCAAUGCGGUGAAGUACGUAAUAACCUUUGGCUGUUAUUUUAGUGAUUACUCUUCAAGAUUUCUUCUGAGAAGUCAUACAAAACAGGAAUGUAAAUUGCAAAAAAGACGCUGAGCAGGAAGGCACUACAGAAAGCCUUCCUCCAAAGGGGAUGUUUAUUUCAGAGACACACAGGGGGACGCUCAAGCAGCUGUCUUCCAGGAAAUCGUCCACAACCCAGGAGCUCUGACUCCCGGGAGAAGGAAGAGGACGGCCCCUCGGGGCCGCACAGAAUGGACAGGCCAAGCGACAGGAGGGAGGCCGCCCGCGCUCCUCCAGGGCCUUGAGGAAGGCACAGUCACACCUGCAAAACACAGCGCCCAUCUUUUUCAUCCGCUUUUACUUCUCAGGAGACCCCGGUCCCCAGAGACCUGUUUUCACCUCCCCGGCUCGGCACACAUGUUUUCUACAUGAUAUUAACCGGUCGCCUUUGAAUCUCGUACAUCCUGGUAUGCUUUGGAUUCACCGACCUCAUUUUUACACACACACGCACACACACACACACACUCCCCGGAAUCUGUACUAGCUGACUGCCGGCAAAAGAAAACGUUAGUGUGGCUCUUUCUCCUUCUUUUAAACAGCUUAAAUGAGAUACAAUGUACACGCCAUAAAACUCACUUGAAGUGUG